rnacentral:tRNA from 2 species
GCAUGGGUGGUUCAGUGGUAGAAUUCUCGCCUGCCACGCGGGAGUCCUGGGUUCAAUCCCCGGCCCACGCA